rnacentral:antisense_RNA from 1 species
CUGUAGGAGCUGCCGAAGGCUGGGAUCUUUUGAUCUUGUUCCUAAAUCAAAAGAUCGCAGCCUUCGGCAGCUCCUACAG